rnacentral:rRNA from 1 species
UACGUAGGGGGCAAGUGUUGUUUGGAAUCAUUGGGCGUAAAGAGCGUGUAGGCGGCCAGAAAAGUCCGCUGUGAAAACUCGAGGCUCAACUUCGAGCUGUCGGUGGAAACUUUCUGGCUAGAGUCCGGAAGAGGAGAAUGGAAUUCCUGGUGUAGCGGUGAAAUGCGCAGAUAUCAGGAAGAACACCCGUGGUGAAGGCGGUUCUCUGGGACGGUACUGACGCUGAGACGCGAAAGCGUGGGGAGCGAACAGG